rnacentral:rRNA from 1 species
UACAGAGGUCCCAAGCGUUGUUCGGAAUCAUUGGGCGUAAAGGGCGCGUAGGCGGUCAGGUAAGUCAACUGUGAAAUCCCUGGGCUCAACCCAGGAACUGCACUCGAAACUACUAUUCUUGAGUGUCGGAGAGGAAAGCGGAAUUCCUGGUGUAGAGGUGAAAUUCGUAGAUAUCAGGAGGAACACCAGUGGCGAAGGCGGCUUUCUGGACGAUAACUGACGCUGAGACGGCGAAAAGCGUGGGGA